rnacentral:rRNA from 1 species
GGAUUCCCCUAGUAACGGCGAGUGAAGCGGGAAGAGCUCAAAUUUAAAUCUGGCUGUCUCAGGCAGUCCGAGUUGUAAAUUAUAGAAGCGUUUUCUGUGCCGGACCUGUCAUAAGUUAUCUUGAAUGAUAUAUCAGAGAGGGUGAGAAUCCCGUGCUUUGGCAGGCCACCGGGGCUAUAUGAUGCGCUCUCAACGAGUCGAGUUGUUUGUGAUUGCAGCUCCAAAUGGGAGGUAAAUUCCUUCUAAGCUAA